rnacentral:miRNA from 1 species
UUGAAAUGACAAUUUUAGCCC